rnacentral:rRNA from 1 species
UGAGCAAUCUGCCCUUCUCUUCGGAAUAAGCGUGGGAAACCGCGUCUAAUGCCGAAUACGACCUCCUUUCGCAUGAUCGGAGGUGGAAAGUUCCGGCGGAGAAGGAUGAGCUCGCGGCCUAUCAGCUAGUUGGUGUGGGUAAUGGCCCACCAAGGCGACGACGGGUAGCUGGUCUGAGAGGAUGGCCAGCCACAUUGGGACUGAGAUACGGCCCAGACUCCUAGAGGA